ACUAACUAACUAACUAACUUCAUACAUGCAUGUUCUGUAAUUGUAAUAUAAUCCAAUCUCAUAUAAAACACAUUGUUUUGGUUUGUUUUCUUCUCAGUUCUUUCCACUGACUGGAACUGUCUCUUAUCUGUUUAAUCGUCUGACCCUCGGUCGUCUGUGAUAUUACAACAUUUCUGAGAACGUGUUUGUUGACACUCGACUACAAAAUACAGAUGAACACAACAAGAAGCUCUUAUAAUGACUUCAUACGAUCAGAUGUAUAAUAACAAUAAGCACUCUGCAAUGUAAUGAACACGGAGGAGGAGAUUCCGUCUGUGCACCAUGAUGACGAUGAAGCAGAUUCAGCUGAAUGUGAUCUAAGGUCACUUGGACUCAAACAGAAAUACUGAACAGUGAUUAACAAGAUCGGUUCAACGUUCAAGGUUUCCCACAAUGCAUCAGUCCAACAACGUGCAUAUAUAUAUAUCAGAAAUUCAGAAGCAAAUAACAGACUUCGGAACGAGCAACAGACGCACAGACCUGAAAUGGAAGAUUCAAGGAGAUUUUCCACUCUGUCGUUCUCUUUCAUCCUCUGUUUCUCACUGUGGCUCACGCCUGGAGAAACCUACAACUUUUGGGAUCAAUGCAUUGACGAAUGUCCGGCGAAGUAUUUCACCUCCACGUACGAUGUUCGAUGCUCUGACAGGUGUGAAAAGCAUGGUUAUGACUACUACUGGUGCCAUUCUGAAGAGGGCUGGGACUACUGCUCACCAGGAGAGCACAUUGAUUACAUAGGCAACCCCUGUAGCAAUGCCUGUGGCAAAUAUGGAGAAAACUUCUACAGGUGCUUGUUGUGGGGAGGAUCGUGGAGCAAAUGUGCUCGGGUGGAGCCGAGGGCAAUGAUUUACUACACCAGGUAUCAGAGACAAUGUGUUGACAGCUGUCAGUACUAUGAGUCAGAUGAUUACUUCUGGUGCCAUGAUGGAGAUGACUGGGAGUACUGCUCACCUCUACAAGACCACACCUAGAAGAAUGAGCCGUGUCGCUUCAAUCACCAGUGUGGAAGCUAUGGUUACAGUUACACCUGGUGCUACACAACAUUCAACAACGACUGGGAUUACUGUGGAGUGAUCAGUCCAGGAGAGUGUGUGUUUUCCCAGACGUCCCGUGCCAAACGACAACCCAAUAAUCCCAGAGUGAUCUGUACCAGGGAAGACAACAACAACAGGAGAGUGACCACUUUCAGAGAAGAAGGAUCUUCUAGUAACAUCGCUCAAACCAACAGAAGGUUACGCAACGAAGCCGUAGACUUAAUCAACCGAUGGGACAACCAGGGCUUGAGUGACCAGUCCAGUUCCAACUUGAUAACCUCGAGCAAUCUUCGUCUUGACAACCAGGGACUGAUCAACAGGAACAAUCAGCGGUGUUACAACCUGCAAAUCCAGAUCAACGGACCACGUGGUCCUGGACGCAGCACCACUGUGGCACAGAUCAUAGUUCCUGUUGACACGUCAGCUGAAUACAUGCGUUUGGCCUUCAGGGAGAGUUUACAGCGUGAGGUCGGUGUGGUGGUGGAAGUCAACGAAGCAUCCACCUCCACAAGCAACAACCAGAAGUGUUGUAAACGACGUAAAAAUUAACGUUGUUUACAACACAUGUGUAGCUGACAGUGUUGGGCAAGUUACUGAAAAUUCGUAAUUAGUUACAGUUACUAGUUACUUCUUUUAAAAGUAAUUGAAUUACUUCACCAGUUACUGUUAAUCAAAAGUAAUUAGUUACUAGGGAAAGUAACUUUUAAGUUACUUUUAUGUCUGCUUUUUAAAUGUAAUGAAUAUGAAAAGUACUGAACAGUUAAACACAAUAAACUUAUUUUGUAAUCAACAGGGCAACAGGCCUUCAAAUCAAGCAGUAGUACAAAAAUCCCUUUUAAUACUUAACUUAAUACAAAAUAACUGUCAGUCAUUUAACAGUGUUUUUUUUACCACAUUAGGCCCAAUGAAAUAAUAACCUAACUAACUACAUACAUGCAUUUUAUGUAAUUGUAAUAUAAUCCAAU